CCUACGGGUGGCAGCAGUGGGGAAUAUUGCACAAUGGGGGAAACCCUGAUGCAGCGACGCCGCGUGAGUGAAGAAGUAUCUCGGGAUGUAAAGCUCUAUCAGCAGGGAAGAAAAUGACGGUACCUGAUUAAGAAGCCCCGGCUAACUACGUGCGAGCAGCCGCGGUAAUACGUAGGGGGCAAGCGUUAUCCGGAUUUACUGGGUGUAAAGGGAGCGUAGACGGCAGCACAAGUCUGGAGUGAAAUGCCGGGGCUUAACCCCGGUACUGCCGUGGAAACUGUGCAGCUAGAGUGCAGGAGAGGUAAGUGGAAUUCCUAGUGUAGCGGUGAAAUGCGUAGAUAUUAGGCGGAACACCAGUGGCGAAGGCAGCUUACUGGACUGUAACUGACGUUGAGGCUCGAAAGCGUGGGGAGCGAACAGGAUUAGAUACCCGAGUAGUC
rnacentral:rRNA from 1 species